rnacentral:rRNA from 1 species
GACGAACGCUGGCGGCGUGCUUAACACAUGCAAGUCGAGCGGAAAGGCCACUUCGGUGGUACUCGAGCGGCGAACGGGUGAGUAACACGUGAGUAAUCUGCCCCUGGCUUUGGGAUAGCCACCGGAAACGGUGAUUAAUACCGGAUAUGACCACUUGACGCAUGUUGGGUGGUGGAAAGUUUUUCGGCCAGGGAUGUGCUCGCGGCCUAUCAGCUUGAUGGUGAGGUAAUGGCUCACCAUGGCUUCGACGGGUAGCCGGCCUGAGAGGGUGACCGGUCACACUGGGACUGAGACACUGCCCAGACUCCUACGGGAGGCAGCAGUGGGGAGUAUUGGACAAUGGGCGGAAGCCUGAUCCAGCAACGCCGCGUGAGGGAUGACGGCCUUCGGGUUGUAAACCUCUUUCAGUACCGACGAAGCGCAAGUGACGGUAGGUACAGAAGAAGCACCGGCCAACUACGUGCCAGCAGCCGCCGUAAAAC